CCUACGGGAGGCAGCAGUGAGGAAUAUUGGUCAAUGGACGAGAGUCUGAACCAGCCAAGUAGCGUGAAGGAUGACUGCCCUAUGGGUGGUAAACUUCUUUUAUAAAGGAAUAAAACGAGGCACGUGUGCCUUUUUGCAUGUACUUUAUGAAUAAGGAUCGGCUAACUCCGUGCCAGCAGCCGCGGUAAUACGGAGGAUCCGAGCGUUAUCCGGAUUGAUUGGGUGUAAAGGGAGCGUAGAUGGGUUGUUAAGUCAGUUGUGAAAGUCUGCGGCUAAACCGUAAAAUUGCAAUUGAUACUGGCAGUCUUGAGUGCAGUUGAGGUAGGCGGAAUUCGUGGUGUAGCGGUGAAAUGCGUAGAUAUCACGAAGAACCCCGAUUGCGAAGGCAGCUUACUAAACUGUGACUGACAUUGAUGCUCGAAAGUGUGGGUAGCAAACAGGAUUAGAUACCCCAGUAGUC
rnacentral:rRNA from 1 species